rnacentral:rRNA from 1 species
UCUCGUGCCAGCAGGAGCGGUAAUACGAGAGCCUCGAGCGUUAUCCGGAAUUAUUGGGCGUAAAGGGUGCGUAGGUUGUUCUGUUAGUCUUUUGUCAAAGCCCCGAGCUUAACUUGGGAAUCGCGAAAGAAACGGCAGAACUUGAAAGUGCGAGAGGCGUACGGAACUUAUGGUGUAGGGGUGAAAUCCGUUGAUAUCAUAGGGAACACCAAAUGCGAAGGCAGUACGCUGGCGCAUAUUUGACACUGAAGCACGAAAGCGUGGGUAGCGAAUGGGAUUAGAUACCCCAGUAGUCCACGCCCUAAACGAUGAUCUCUCGCUAUUCAAGACAGCAGGACAGGUGAUGCAUGGCCGUCGUCAGUUCGUGGUUUGAAUUGUACCCUUAAGUGGGCUAACGAACGCAACCCUCGUUGUGUGUUACAAGUGUCACACGAGACCGCCCCCACCUUUGUUCGCGAAGCGAACAAUUUUCAAGUAGCAAUUUACAAUUUUCAGUCAAUUAUCAAUGAUUCAAUUUAAAAAUUAUUCAUUGUAAAUUAAAAAUUUAUUGAAAAUUAGAAAUUAAAAAUUGAAAAUUUGUUUAUGCUUACGCAUAAAGGUGGGGGAGGAAGGAGAGGAUGACGCCAGGUCAGCAUGUCCCUCUGAUACCCUGGGCUACACACAUAAUACAAUCGCCGUUACAACGCGCAGCGACGAGGUAACUCUGAGCUAAUCGUGAAAAGCGGCGCCAGUUCGGAUUGAGGUCUGCAACUCGACCUCAUGAAGCCGGAAUUGCUAGUAAUCGCAGGUCAGCUAAACUGCGGUGAAUACGUUCUCAAGUCUUGUACUCACCGCCCGUCAAGCAUAAGCGGGUCCUAAGGUAAGCUCGGUGACAGGGACUAAGUCGUAACAAGGCACGGCUAGCGGAAGCUGGUCGUGGAAUAA